rnacentral:rRNA from 1 species
UACGUAGGGUGCGAGCGUUGUCCGGAAUUAUUGGGCGUAAAGAGCUCGUAGGCGGUCUGUCGCGUCGGUUGUGAAAACCCAAGGCUCAACCUUGGGCCUGCAAUCGAUACGGGCAGACUAGAGGUACUGCAGGGAGACUGGAAUUCCUGGUGAUAGCGGUGGAAUGCGCAGAUAUCAGGAGGAACACCGGUGGCGAAGGCGGGUCUCUGGGCAGUAACUGACGCU